AACGCGAAGAACCUUACCUGGGCUUGAACUACUCGUGGUAAGCUGGUGGAAACACUAGCUGACCCGCAAGGGAGCGAGCAGAGGUGCUGCAUGGUUGUCGUCAGCUCGUGUCGUGAGAUGUUGGGUUAAGUCCCGCAACGAGCGCAACCCCUGCCCUUAGUUGCCACCGGGUAAUGCCGAGCACUCUAUGGGGACUGCACGGGUCAACCGUGAGGAAGGCGGGGAUGACGUCAAGUCAUCAUGGCCCUUAUGUCCAGGGCAACAAGCGUGCUACAAUGGAUUACACAAAGGGUUGCAAACUCGCGAGAGCCAGCUAAUCCCAAAAAGUAAUCCUCAGUUCGGAUCGGAGUCUGCAACUCGACUCCGUGAAGUUGGAAUCGCUAGUAAUCGCGGAUCAGAACGCCGCGGUGAAUACGUUCCCGGGCCUUGUACACACCGCGCAUA
rnacentral:rRNA from 1 species